rnacentral:rRNA from 1 species
GACGAACGCUGGCGGCGUGCUUAACACAUGCAAGUCGAGCGGUAAGGCCCUUUCGGGGGUACACGAGCGGCGAACGGGUGAGUAACACGUGGGUGACCUGCCUCUAGCUCUGGGAUAAGCCUGGGAAGCUGGGUCUAAUACCGGAUAUGACCUCGCGGUGCAUGUUGCGGGGUGGAAAGCCUUGUGCGGCUAGGGGAUGGGCCCGCGGCCUAUCAGCUUGUUGGUGGGGUGAUGGCCUACCAAGGCGACGACGGGUAGCCGGCCUGAGAGGGCGACCGGCCACACUGGGACUGAGACACGGCCCAGACUCCUACGGGAGGCAGCAGUGGGGAAUCUUGCGCAAUGGGCGAAAGCCUGACGCAGCGACGCCGCGUGAGGGAUGACGGCC